rnacentral:lncRNA from 1 species
UNUCUUUCUUUCUUUAAUUUAUAAAUCACUAUUAAUUAUUAUAUCUAAUGAUCCAGAAGUUGUGUUGUACUCCAGAUGCUUUAAAGCUACUCAAAUUUUAACCACCUUUACACAAAAACUAUCCGUGGACUUACAGGAACUCAGAAUUUUUCCCUUUUUGUCAAAUAACUUGACUACUGGGGCCAUGUAGAAAAUGUAUAUCAUGCUCUUGUAACUUCACACGAAGUUUUAUGUUGGUCAUGAAACUCAUUUCUUUCCAAGUUGGUUACUGAACUUAAAUAUUUGUUACAAUUUGCUCUUCCAUCCAUGUAUAUAAUUUAGCUAAUUGGAAAGAUGUCAAAAUAGUUUUCUUGACAGUUUAGUUGGCAAAUCAUGAAAUUGUCGUGUCACAUUUUUCCUUAGCCACUAAUGGCAGUGGAUGUAGUGACCAACUUGAAACAAAGCUUAAGUUCAGCAACCAACUUGAGGCAAUAUGAAGUUCAGUGUCCAACUUGAAUUUUUGUUAGAAGUUCAGUGACUGCAAAUGUAUCAAACUCUUAUAAAUUGUUUCUAUUUUCAAUUUGCUCCACUAGUGCUUUCGUUCCCGAGUUCAUAUUUCUGCUUAUUAAAGUAAUUAUUUCUUUUCCGAAAAUAGACUAGACUAAGUAACGUGAGAUCUCCAGGGUUGAACGUCGUUCUAUGAGUUCUUGUAUGAUCGAGACAGUUCAAUUCUUCUACAAGGUUGGUUCGGAUAUAGAUGUAUCUAUCACGGCCUUCUAAUUUUGUUUGCUUUUUUGUAUGUAGACUAUAUUUUCAAUGGAUUCCUUCAUCAAAACAAGGGCUCAAACAGAAGAUGUAAUUGAGGGUUGGCGACCAAAAGUCAUGGGUUGAUUCGUCUACUGUAUUCAACAUCAUUUGGCUCAUCUUCAGUUUCAGAUUUUUGUCCUAGUACAGUAAAGUGAUGGUAUGCACAUAUGUAGAUCAAAUCGUAUUCAUUACAUACAUAUUGUACAAAAUAAAAGAUGGUUGACUAUGACAAGUAUGUGAAUUUCGAGCCACCAGACAAAAAUGUGAUGUUCUGAACUCAAUGGAACAAUUCUUCUUCAACUUCCUAGUAAAAUUAUACGUAGAAAUACCAUGUUAUAUUAUGGGUCUAACAAAAUGUGUGAUGUUAUCAAUCUUUUGUUAUCAAUCUUUAGUUUUUCUUUUAUCCUUCGAGCAUCUGAGCGAACAUGUCGUGCUAUUCUUCCAUAUAAUAUAGUUGAAACACGAAGUUCAU